rnacentral:rRNA from 1 species
GAUGAACGCUGGCGGCGUGCUUAACACAUGCAAGUCGAACGAUGAAGCUCAGCUUGCUGGGUGGAUUAGUGGCGAACGGGUGAGUAACACGUGAGUAACCUGCCCUUAACUCUGGGAUAAGCCUGGGAAACUAGGUCUAAUACCGGAUAGGAGCGCCUACCGCAUGGUGGGUGUUGGAAAGAUUUAUCGGUUUUGGAUGGACUCGCGGCCUAUCAGCUUGUUGGUGAGGUAAUGGUUCACCAAGGCGUCGACGGGUAGCCGGCCUGAGAGGGUGACCGGCCACACUGGGACUGAGACACGGACCAGACUCCUACGGGAGGCAGCAGUGGGGAAUAUUGCACAAUGGGCGAGAGCCUGAUGCAGCGACGCCGCGUGAGGGAUGACGGCCUUCGGGUUGUAAACAUCUUUCAGUAGGGAAGAAGCGAAAGUGACGGUACCUGCAGAAGAAGCACCGGCUAACUACGUG